rnacentral:tRNA from 1 species
GUCACAAUAGCCCAGCUGGAUAGAGCAACGGUCUUCUAAACCGUAGGUCGUGGGUUCGAACCCCACUUGUGACA